rnacentral:rRNA from 1 species
GCUGUUUGCGAUACACAGCAAGCGGCUGAGCGAAAGCAUUAAGUGAACCACCUGGGGAGUACGCCCGCAAGGGUGAAACUCAAAGGAAUUGACGGGGGCCCGCACAAGCGGUGGAACAUGUGGUUUAAUUCGAUGAUACGCGAGGAACCUUACCUGGGCUUAAAUGCAUUUUGUAUGGAGUAGAAAUAUUCCUUCCCUUCGGGGCUAUUUGCAAGGUGCUGCAUGGUUGUCGUCAGCUCGUGCCGUGAGGUGUCGGGUUAAGUCCCAUAACGAGCGCAACCCUUACCGUUAGUUGCCAUCGGGUCAAGCCGGGGACUCUAGCGGGACUGCCACCGUAAGGUGAGAGGAAGGUGGGGAUGACGUCAAAUCAGCACGGCCCUUAUGCCCAGGGCUACACACGUGUUACAAUGGCCGGUACAAAGGGCAGCUACUGCGCGAGCAGGUGCGAAUCUUCAAAGCCGGUCCCAGUUCGGAUCGGAGUCUGCAACCCGACUCCGUGAAGUUGGAAUCGCUAGUAAUCGGAUAUCAGCAACGAUCCGGUGAAUACGUUCCCGGGCCUUGUACACACCGCCCGUCAAACCAUGGAAGCUGGGGGUACCUGAAGUCUGUAACCGCAAGGAGCGGCCUAGGGUAAAUCUGGUAACUAGGGUUAAGUCGUAACAAGGUAGCCG